CAAGGUUGCAUACAGAAAAGACCCUCCCCUAACCCUUGACUGGUUGUAUUCUGACGUGCACAUUGAAAGCAGCUGAUGAUAAGGACAAGGUUAUGUGUUGGGAAGGGCCAUGAAAUAGAGGUAUAGAGGAGGAGCCAGCCAAGGCAGGCCGUCCAGAUUUGUAGCUGGACCAGAUUGGUUUGACAGUCGGGCAGUGAGAGAUGCAUGGACUGAUGCAAUGGGAAGAGGAAGAAUAUAUUUGAUGACUAAUAUUUUGAUUGAUGUAAAUGGAUGUUCAGUGUUUGACCAAAGAUGAAAGUGCACUCACUGUACGAGAAUUGUUAGAGAAGUGACGUAAAGUGCUGAAAGAUGGUCAUCAAUAAUAUUAUUCAUGUCGGCUACAGCCAUUUGCAGCUCUAGGAAGUUCCCAAUGCAGCAAAGGCAAACAUCAUGUGAGCAGGCAGCUCGAUGAAAACCACCCCAACAAUAGAGUAGUUUCGUGGGGGUGGGGAGCGUACAACUAUAGCUAGUUGGAUUGGGCUAUGGACAUGUUGGCGACAUGUAUAGUAUGGUGGUGUCCUUUUUUCUUUUUUUUUAGUUUUCUUGGUGAAGAGGGAGGCCAGUGAUUGAUUGCUCUGAUGCGCUUUAUGUUUAUGUUAUGUCCA